UACGGAGGGAGCUAGCGUUAUUCGGAAUUACUGGGCGUAAAGGGCGCGUAGGCGGCCACUGCAAGUCAGUUGUGAAAUCUCCGGGCUUAACCCGGAAAGGUCAACUGAUACUGCAGGGCUAGAGUGCAGAAGGGGCAACUGGAAUUCUCGGUGUAGCGGUGAAAUGCGUAGAUAUCGAGAGGAACACCUGCGGCGAAGGCGGGUUGCUGGGCUGACACUGACGCUGAGGCGCGAAAGCCAGGGGAGCGAACGGG
rnacentral:rRNA from 1 species